UACAGGGGGUGCAAACGUUGCUCGGAAUCAUUGGGCGUAAAAGCGCACGUAGGCGGUUCGUUAUGUCGGAUGUGAAAGCCCUUGGCUUAACCGAGGAAGUGCAUCCGAAACUGGCGAGCUAGAGUACUAAAGAGGAUCGCGGAAUUCCCGGUGUAGAGGUGAAAUUCGUAGAUAUCGGGAGGAACACCGGUGGCGAAGGCGCAUCCUGGACCGGCAUUGACGCUGAGGCGCGAAAAGCCAGGGGAGCAAACGGG
rnacentral:rRNA from 1 species